AUUGAACGCUGGCGGCAGGCCUAACACAUGCAAGUCGAACGGCAGCACAGAAGAGCUUGCUCUUUGGGUGGCGAGUGGCGGACGGGUGAGUAAUGUCUGGGAAACUGCCCGAUGGAGGGGGAUAACUACUGGAAACGGUAGCUAAUACCGCAUAACGUCGCGAGACCAAAGUGGGGGACCUUCGGGCCUCACACCAUCGGAUGUGCCCAGAUGGGAUUAGCUAGUAGGUGGGGUAAUGGCUGACCUAGGCGACGAUCCCUAGCUGGUCUGAGAGGAUGACCAGCCACACUGGAACUGAGACACGGUCCAGACUCCUACGGGAGGCGGCAGUGGGGAAUAUUGCACAAUGGGCGCAAGCCUGAUGCAGCCAUGCCGCGUGUAUGAAGAAGGCCUUCGGGUUGUAAAGUACUUUCAGCGGGGAGGAAGGCGGUGAGGUUAAUAACCUUGCCGAUUGACGUUACCCGCAGAAGAAGCACCGGCUAACUCCGUGCCAGCCGCCGCCGUAA
rnacentral:rRNA from 1 species